rnacentral:rRNA from 1 species
UGCAAGUCGAACGCAUCCUUCGGGAUGAGUGGCAGACGGGAGAGUAACACGUGGGGAACGCGCCCUUCGGUUCGGAAUAACUCAGGGAAACUUGAGCUAAUACCGGAUACGCCCUUACGGGGAAAGAUUUAUUGCCGAAGGAACGGCCCGCGUCGGAUUAGCUAGUUGGUGAGGUAAUGGCUCACCAAGGCGACGAUCCGUAGCUGGUCUGAGAGGAUGACCAGCCUCACUGGGACUGAGACACGGCCCAGACUCCUACGGGAGGCAGCAGUGGGGAAUAUUGGACAAUGGGCGCAAGCCUGAUCCAGCCAUGCCGCGUGGAUGAUGAAGGCCCUANGGUUGUAAAGUCCUUUUAACGGGGAAGAUAAUGACGGUACCCGUAGAAUAAGCCCCGGCU